rnacentral:rRNA from 1 species
UACAGGGGGUGCAAACGUUGCUCGGAAUUAUUGGGCGUAAAGGGCGCGUAGGCGGCUUGGCAAGUGGAAGGUGAAAUCCCUCGGCUUAACCGAGGAACUGCCCUCCAAACUGCUUCGCUUGAGACCAGGAGAGGUGAGUGGAAUUCCCAGUGUAGCGGUGAAAUGCGUAGAUAUUGGGAGGAACACCAGUGGCGAAGGCGGCUCACUGGACUGGUACUGACGCUGAUGCGCGAAAGCGUGGGGAGCAAACGGG